GGCUGGUUUGAAAAUUCUCUGUGUUCACUCAACUAUUGAAAAGUGGAGAUCGAUUCCAGGAGAAGCAGAGAGUUUCUUUUCCCUUUGGAUGAGGUGGCUGGCUGCAGCCUAGGGUUUUUAUUCAGGUCAUCUAGUACAAGGAGAUGAUACGCAACUUCCAGAGGUAACUGACUCACAAUGGACAGAACAGGAGCCAAGAUAAAGAGGCCCUUUCAAGGAAGAGUUCUCCUUCAGCACCAGGAAGCCCAUCUUCACCCACCAACCUGCAAGAGGAGGAGCACAGAGGACCAGAGGAGCAUGGGGGAGGAGAGGAAGGGGAGAGUUGGAAGCUGGAAGGAGAACCAGAACCCAGUCCAGAGAAACAGAGGAACCACGAACCUGCGGAGACCUUACACACAAUUAACUCCAGAGCACCAGCAGUGAUCUCCGGCCAGGGGGAGAACCCCCGGAGCCACCCCAGUCCGAGGAGGCCUUCCCUGGCCAGAGCUGGUGCCAGCGGUGGGCCUGGCAGCGCCGGGGGAACCCAAGAGCCCGCUCAGGAGAAGGGGGGCCCUGGUGCGACACGUGGCGCGCAGACCGGACCGGAGACCGCAGCGGGCGCCAGAGGCUGUUUCCUGGAGAGCACGGCGGAGCCAACACCGAGAAAGACGAGGAGGAAGAUCAGACUGUCUGGUGUGAGAGGACGAGGUCAACUUCAGCUGUCAAUUCAACUAGAGGGCGAUGGACUUGACAUCCACAUCUACCAGGCCCGAGGGUUGCUGGGAAGAAACUGUGGCUCAUGUGACACAUAUGUCAAG
ensembl:lncRNA